AGUGAACGCUGGCGGUAGGCCUAACACAUGCAAGUCGAACGGCAGCACAGAGGAGCUUGCUCCUUAGGUGGCGAGUGGCGGACGGGUGAGGAAUACAUCGGAAUCUACUCUGUCGUGGGGGAUAACGUAGGGAAACUUACGCUAAUACCGCAUACGACCUACGGGUGAAAGCAGGGGACCUUCGGGCCUUGCGCGAUUGAAUGAGCCGAUGUCGGAUUAGCUAGUUGGCGGGGUAAAGGCCCUCCAAGGCGACGAUCCGUAGCUGGUCUGAAAGGAGGAUCAGCCACCCUGGAACGGAGACACGGUCCAGACUCCUACGGGAGGCAGCAGUGGGGAAUAUUGGACAAUGGUCGCAAGCCCGAUCCAGCCAUACCGCGUGGGUGAAGAAGGCCUUCGGGUUGUAAAGCCCCUUUGUUGGGAAAGAAAUCCAGCUGGCUAAUACCCGGUUGGGAUGACGGUACCCAAAGAAUAAGCACCGGCUAACUUCGUGCCAGCCGCCGCCGUAA
rnacentral:rRNA from 1 species